rnacentral:rRNA from 1 species
GAAUAUUGGACAAUGGGGGCAACCCUGAUCCAGCCAUGCCGCGUGAGUGAAGAAGGCCUUCGGGUUGUAAAGCUCUUUUGGCGGGGACGAUGAUGACGGUACCUGCAGAAUAAGCCCCGGCGACCUUCGUGCCAGCAGCCGCGGUAAGACGAAGGGGGCUAGCGUUGUUCGGAAUUACUGGGCGUAAAGGGCGCGUAGGCGGUUUGUUAAGUCAGGCGUGAAAGCCCUGGGCUCAACCUGGGAUGUGCGUUUGAUACUGGCAAGCUUGAGUGCAGGAGAGGAUGGUGGAAUUCCCAGUGUAGAGGUGAAAUUCGUAGAUAUUGGGAAGAACACCGGUGGCGAAGGCGGCCAUCUGGACUGCAACUGACGCUGAGGCGCGAAAGCGUGGGGAGCAAACAGG